UACGGAGGGUGCAAGCGUUAUCCGGAUUCACUGGGUUUAAAGGGAGCGUAGGUGGCUUUGUAAGUCAGUGGUGAAAUGUCGCGGCUCAACCGCGAAACUGCCAUUGAUACUGCUUAGCUUGAAUCACGUCGAGGUGGAUGGAAUAUUACAUGUAGCGGUGAAAUGCUUAGAUAUGUAAUAGAACACCGAUUGCGAAGGCAGUUCACUAGGCGUGUAUUGACACUGAGGCUCGAAAGCGUGGGGAUCAAACAGGAUUAGAUACCCC
rnacentral:rRNA from 1 species